UUGGAGGGCAAGUCUGGUGCCAGCAGCCGCGGUAACUCCAGCUCCAAUAGCGUAUAUUAAAGUUGUUGCAGUUAAAAAGCUCGUAGUUGAAUUUCGGGAUUAGUACGCUGGUCGUGCCUUCGGUACGUACUGGUGUUACUGAUUCCUACCUUCUGACGAACCAUCAUGUCAUUAAUUUGGUGUGGUGGGGAAUCAGGAUUGUUACUUUGAAAAAAUUAGAGUGUUUAAAGCAGGCUCGCGCUUGAAUACAUUAGCAUGGAAUAAUGAAAUAGGACGUUGAUCCUAUUUUGUUGGUUUCUAGGAUUGACGUAAUGAUUAAUAGGGAUAGUUGGGGGCAUUAGUAUUCAAUUGUCAGAGGUGAAAUUCUUGGAUUUAUUGAAGACUAACUACUGCGAAAGCAUUUGCCAAGGAUGUUUUCAUUAAUCAAGAACGAAAGUUAGGGGAUCGAAGACGAUCAGAUACCGUCGUAGUCUUAACCAUAAACUAUGCCGACUAGGGAUCGGAUGAUGUUAUUUUUAAUGACUCAUUCGGCGCCUUACGGGAAAC
rnacentral:rRNA from 1 species